UCUUCCUUUGUUUUUUGGCAAUUAGCAUUCUUCAUGCAUAUCACCACCUACUGGUCGGGCUGGUCAAAGGUGGAGAUUUAUAGUAAAAAAAAGGACUUAAAUAUUGAUCUGUUUCUCACCCACACCUAUCAUAUCACUUCUGAAUCAUGGAUUUACCCAAUGGAGUCAUAUGGGUUACUUUUAUGCUGACUUUGUUAUUUUUGUGAUUCAAAGUUCUGGUCACCAUUCACUUGCAUUGUAUGGACCUGCAGAGCUGAGAUAUUUUUCUAAAAAUCUUCAUUUGUGUUUUGCAGAAGAAAGAAAGUCAUACACAUCUGGGAUGGCAUGAGGUGUGCCAUGGCCGUUACAGGAAUGGAAAUCAGGGGAGUAACAGCCUGUGGGCCUCCUUUGGCUGAGCUAAGCAUGCUAAUGACGUAGCGAUUACCUAAACAACACUUCUGACAGGGAAUUCCGCCUGUCCCAUCUCAGAUGCACUGCACGUCAGUGUCUAACCCCUCAAGAUCAAGGCAACACCGCGCUCACCCCGGGCAUGAACAGGGAACAGGCCGCCAAGGAUUAUGUCACCAUCCAGACGGAUAGAGUGGGCGUACUCCGGUGGUGGUGUCUCUAUGCGCUGAAGGGAGACUGGCAACCAGUAGCAGAGGAAAAGGAGG